rnacentral:lncRNA from 1 species
CCAAACUAUCCAAACACAAAAGGCCUCACACAGACACACACGUGCAGAUGAAUUGAAGAAGAAAUGUCACGGCUGUAGAAUGAGGGAUCCGAACAGGUGCUGAUGAAAUUGAAGAAUGAAAGGUUCCAAGAUUUGAUGAUUGCCGCGUCGGUUAUGGGUAAUCUUCGCUAAUGCAGUUUGCUGCAUUGAUGGCUUGGAACCCAGGUUGGAUAUCCCCAUAUUUGCUGCUUUCAGGUUUCUCUUUAGGGCUUAUUUGCUUUUUUUAAUUUGUUUUAUUCGCUGGCUUCGAACUUAGGUUAGGUAUCCCCAUAUUAGUUGUUGUCUGGAAUUCAGCCGAGACAUAAUAAAACUUAGCAGUAAGCCUUGACAAUUCUGAAUAAAAGCAGACAUAAGACUUAAUAAAACAAAGACUACACAUAAUAAUUGAUAAAAGUACACACCAUUGUUGUUACAUAGAUGUUAUAAUAUAACAGAAGAAAUAGACGAAAUCAAACUUAACAUAACAUUAGUCCCAUAAAGCUUAAGAGAACAAGGAUUACACAAUGAAUAAUUAAUUUCAGAACAAUAAGGGGAUAUGGGUCAGUGCUAGGCGACUAAGUCCAGGAGGGAGGUUUGAAAUCUUUUGAGUUUGUUAAAGAGGGUUAGGAAAAAAGCAAUUAAACAUACGUAGAACUCAGAUGGAUUGAGAAAUAAGAAAUUAGAUUGGACAAUGCAUAAGCUGUUAACUUAAUUAUCCAUUUUACAUCACUUAUUUAAUGGUUAAGCACAAAUUUUAUUUUAAUUAAGUAACACACACAACUAAAUACAUUUACUUUAACAUAGUUUAAAGUUAAAACAAUAUUACACAACUAAAUACAUUUACUUUAACAUAGUUUAAAGUUAAAACAAUAUUAAAACUUGCGGUCCGGUCUGGUUUUAUACGGUCGGUAUUGAUAUAAACCGUAAACAAACCCGUUCGUUACGGUUUGAAAUGUUUUAAACCGACCGACUGAAAGUUAGAAAAAAAAACGACUGCGAAACCAAACCGUUGACCCGUUUGGAUGGUUUCACAGUUUUAAACCGAACCGUGAGGCUCAUUGGUAAACUCUUAAAUAAAUUUUUAAUUUUGCCAAAAAAGGCCUCCACUUCGUAGUUCGCUUAGGGUCUCCAAAAACGUAGGAACGGCCCUGUUAUCAGCACGACAAUGCUCUUUUCAAAACCCUAGUUCGCUAGAGAUUAUAGCCGCCACCCGAUGAAUGUAUGCCUCGUUCGUCACACAAUGUUCGGCAUCUUAAUCCAAGAUCUAGAUACCAAAGACAAACCGGAUCAAUGGUAUGUCUUCUUUCCUUAGUUUAUCUCAUAGAAACAUCAUGAACAAAUAGUAAUUAAGAUUCCUAAAUAUCGGCGCUAUAAAUUUUUCCUUUGAGCCAUCUACUUUUUCCUCAAGUAAAUGUGAAUAAUAACACUUAUAAUUCUGUGAAUUUGAGAAAAGAAUUAAAAUUUCAUAUAAACCUUAGCAUCAUGUACUAUAUUGUAUCUUUAUUUAUGGGUUUUAAAUUUUAUUUAUAAAAGGUAAAUGCAUAUAGAUAAUGAAAGAAAAUAUAUAUUAGAACGAAAAAUAAUUGGUAUUUAGUAAGAUUUAAUAUUGUUUGGAUUGAAUACUUUUCAUAAUGUUUGUGAUCGUGAUGUUGAUUUUUUUUUUUUUCUUCAAAGUAGAAGGAUGAAAUAUAAAAGUGAAUAUCUGAUUAAAAGAACAUAAUAUUAUUUCAUCUUCAUAAGUUUACUGGGGAGCUUUUUUUGCCCAUGAACUUUGAUUUAAUUAGUUUUAUUAAAUAUAAUUUUGAACUUGAUAAAAUUAGAGUGUCCUUUUAUUGAUUAUUUAGAUUAAAUUAAGUUCUUAAUUUUAUGAGAUAUUUUAUGUUAGUUGAUUAGGCUAUAGGGUGUGGUCAUCACCCUCAUGAUCACCAUGACCCUCCACAUCAGCGCCAUGUCAUCUACUUCUAAUCCAUCAUCCAAAACCACUAUUCUAAGGGUGUGGUCAUGACUCAAACCACUAUUAUCUUACUUUAAUUUAUUUUUGUGAAAAGGAAAGAAAAUAUUAAAUAUGGAAAGUGGGCUCAUGGUUGCCAUGGUUUAAUCCAUGGGAAUCAUGGUGGAUGAGAUAAGGAGGUGGUGUAGCAAUCUAUUAAUGGUCCUACGUGGCGAUUAAUGACCCAACCAUGUCCUUCAGCCUCUAUAGCCUUAGUUAAAUAACUUUAUGGAUAUAUAAAGUUUAUAUUCACUAGAUGAAUAUUUUGAUUUCAUUAAUUACAAAGUCAUGCAUUCCAUCUGAUUCAGUUUCUAAUUAUUAUUGUUAUUCACACUUUAAACGAGUUCAUAUAUAGAUAUAUAUGUUUUGGGGCGAUGUCCAUGGCUAGGGUUAGUGAUUGGAAUAAAAUAAUAACCGAACAAAGAUUAAAGGAAAAAAGUGAAUUUAUUAUAAUUAAAGAUACUAAAAUUGAGUUGUUUUAGGGGGUGUUUGGGAUUGCGUUUUCAACCUGAUUAUUUGAUUAUUGUGUUUUGAAAUCGCAAAAAAUCUAUUUUGAGUGUUUGGUAAAAAAUUAAUAAAAAGUGAUUUUUUACGUUUUGUAGAGUUCAAAACGUGAUAAUCCAUAAGUAGGUCACCCCUUGCUGCAGGAAAACGUGAUAAUCCAAAAACUGAUUUUUUACGUUUUCACUUAGUUAUUUUUUAAAAUAUAUAUACUUGCCAAACACUCAAAUAGUUGAUUAUCUGAUUAUUGUGAUAUCUAACAACAUAAUCAAAUCCAAACAAUGUUGAUUAUCUGAUUAUUGUGAUAUCAAACAACAUAAUCAAAUCCAAACACUAUCUUUCUGCAGCACGUUUUCUUACAGCUAAUUAUCUGAUUCUGAUUAUUCAAAACGCAUAAUCUAUUUUCAAAACUCAACCCCAAACACCCCCUUAGUUAUUAAAUAUUGUCGUCUAUUUUUCACAAUAAUCAUAGUUAUUCGAUUCUUUAAAGAAUAAUCAUAACUUGUGUAUGUUAUGAACUCUAGUACUAUUGAUAUGAUCAUGAUUUAUUAUUAGUUUUCCUGAUAUUACAUGUAAUAAAUAUUUGAAAAGGUUAAACGGUUACAAUAUAAGUAUUUCUCAAACUAUAAAACGUUAUAAUAAAAUUUGGUGAUAGUGUAUUUGGCUCUAAAUAAUGUAAUAAAUUAUAUAUUAAACUGAUUGUAAUUGGUUCAUCAAUUUGCAACUAAUUAAUAGAAAAUUGCAAAGAACAGUUUAAGUUUGUGAGCUUAUCUUCUGUUUUUUAUAUUGAUUUAUAUAUAACUAGGUUAGAACCCCGUGUAAUACACGGGUUGAAUAAAUAUAAUGUUCUAUACUUUGUCACAGUAGAAUCAAAACCUCUGAAAAAAGACACAUUCGUAGGUAUUGCAAAUGUGGAUCAAUGAUUAAAUGAGUGUGGGCACUUGAGGAUUGUGCUCCUAUCAAUGAAGGUAAGUGAGGGUAUGUUUUAAGUGAAAAUGAUAUGCCUUUGUGUGAUCGGGUAAAUGUGUGAGGGUAUGUGAAAGAAUGAGGGUUAUGCCCCUAGCACCCUUAGAAUCAUAUCUUCCCUUGUAUGCACACCAAGAGAUGACACAAAUGUUUGCCACGAUGGAACCAAAACCUCUGAAAAAAAUAUUUGUAAGUAUUGAAAAUCCAUAAUUUAUAAACCAUAACAUAUAUAGAUCAAUAUUUAACCAAAACGACAAGCUUACCCAUGUAUAACAAUGACCCCAAUCAAAGGGCCAAAUUUCUAAAUUUCAAGCUGAGAUAAGAGCCGUAUCCACUAUACAUUUUAAAAGAGUAUAAUACAAUUGCAUCUAAUUUGAGCAGCAAGUUAACAAUAGACUAAACGAAGAGCUUACAAGAAUGACAUGUAUAUAAUCUUUUCAUGUUAUUGAAGUUUCAACUUUUGCCAGGGGAUGUGGAACCAACUUUAACUAUUGAAAAAUGAGCCUAUUUUUUGGGUUGUCUCGUCUUCUAUGAGUGGCACAUGUUAGAAUGCAUCAUUAUUUGCCAAGUUAAAAGAACAAUUUCUCUAUUAAAAUCUACCAAAGACACUUUCAUAAGAAAUACAUC